CGGCGAGCGAAGCGGCAACAGCUCAAAUUUGAAAUCUGGCUACUUUGUAGUCCGAGUUGUAAUUUGUAGAGGAUGCUUUUGGUGAGGUGCCUUCCGAGUUUCCCUGGAACGGGACGCCCAGAGAGGGUGAGAGCCCCGUACGGUUGGAUACCAAACCUUUGUAUAGCUCCUUCAACGAGUCGAGUAGUUUGGGAAUGCUGCUCUAAAUGGGAGGUAUAUCUCUUCUAAAGCUAAAUAUAGGCUAGAGACCGAUAGCGCACAAGUAGAGUGAUCGAAAGAUGAAAAGCACUUUGAAAAGAGAGUUAAACAGCACGUGAAAUUGUUGAAAGGGAAGCGCCUAUGACCAGACUUGUUUCUUUCAGUUUUGUUAGUUCUCGGACUGAUUUACUCUGUUAGUACAGGCCAGCAUCAGUUUGUUGUCGGGGAGAAAGGCUUAGGGAAUGUGGCUCCUCCGGGAGUGUUAUAGCCCUUUGCAUAAUACCCUUCGGCAGACUGAGGACCGCGCUUCGGCAAGGAUGCUGGCGUAAUGGUCAUCAGCGACCCGUCUUGAAACACGGACCAAGGAGUCAACCUUAUGUGCGAGUGUUUGGGUGUAAAACCCCAGCGCGUAAUGAACGUGAACGUAGGUGAGAGCUUCGGCGCAUCAUCGACCGAUUCUGAUGUUCUCGGAUGGAUUUGAGUAAGAGCACACAGGGUUGGACCCGAAAGAAGGUGAACUAUGCUUGUAUAGGGUGAAGCCAGAGGAAACUCUGGUGGAGGCUCGCAGCGGUUCUGACGUGCAAAUCGAUCGUCAAAUAUGAGCAUGGGGGCGAAA
rnacentral:rRNA from 1 species